CACCCAUUUGAAAUGGUAAAGACUUAGAACUUACCUUUUCCUCUUCUUUUUCUUUCAUUAAAGGUAAGAGCAGCAUAUUUGUUUGGUGUGGAUGCUUGUUAUCCAAACCCAAAGGCUUCUGAAUGCCACAUUAAUGUGAAGGUACCUGACACCUCUGUAGGGUAGAAUUGGAAGUUUUCUUUGCAGAUGGAAAGUUAUGAUAUAGUGGUUCUUGAUUCAAGAUUGUCUAUAGAGGACUUCAGAACACAGAGCAAUCAG